rnacentral:rRNA from 1 species
UCGAUUGAGUUUGAUCAUGGCUCAGAACGAACGCUGGCGGCAGGCUUAACACAUGCAAGUCGAACGCCCCGCAAGGGGAGUGGCAGACGGGUGAGUAACGCGUGGGAAUCUACCCAAUUCUUCGGAACAACUGAGGGAAACUUCAGCUAAUACCGGAUACGCCCUACGGGGGAAAGAUUUAUCGGAAUUGGAUGAGCCCGCGUUGGAUUAGCUAGUUGGUGAGGUAAUGGCUCACCAAGACGACGAUCCAUAGCUGGUCUGAGAGGAUGAUCAGCCACACUGGGACUGAGACACGGCCCAGACCCCUACGGGAGGCAGCAGUGGGGAAUAUUGGACAAUGGGCGCAAGCCUGAUCCAGCCAUGCCGCGUGAGUGAUGAAGGCCUUAGGGUUGUAAAGCUCUUUCAGUAGGGAAGAUAAUGACGGUACCUACAGAAGAAGCCCCGGCUAACUUCGUGCCAGCAGCCGCGGUAAUACGAAGGGGGCUAGCGUUGUUCGGAUUUACUGGGCGUAAAGCGCACGUAGGCGGAUCGUUAAGUCGGGGGUGAAAUCCUGGAGCUCAACUCCAGAACUGCCUUCGAUACUGGCGAUCUUGAGUCCGGAAGAGGUGAGUGGAACUCCUAGUGUAGAGGUGGAAUUCGUAGAUAUUAGGAAGAACACCAGUGGCGAAGGCGGCUCACUGGUCCGGUACUGACGCUGAGGUGCGAAAGCGUGGGGAGCAAACAGGAUUAGAUACCCUGGUAGUCCACGCCGUAAACUAUGAGAGCUAGCCGUUGGGGAGUUUACUCCUCAGCGGCGCAGCUAACGCAUUAAGCUCUCCGCCUGGGGAGUACGGUCGCAAGAUUAAAACUCAAA